rnacentral:misc_RNA from 1 species
GUACUCUCACACUCUCCGAUCCUUUGCGUUCGGGGAGCGGUGGACCUGGGUGUUUGCUGCCUUUGCCGGUGGCUCACCUCAAAUGCGUUCGUGCACCUCUUGGUUGGACAUAGUACGGCGUGAUAAGUAUCUUCGCCGGCACCUCGCAAGAGGGUGGCCGAUCGAGAGCUCUGUGCUUUCCAACCGUCCUCAGACACUGUCUGACA